UACGUAGGGUGCGAGCGUUGUCCGGAAUUAUUGGGCGUAAAGAGCUCGUAGGCGGUGUGUCACGUCGGCCGUGAAAACCUGCAGCUUAACUGUGGGCGUGCGGUCGAUACGGGCAUCACUGGAGUUCGGCAGGGGAGACUGGAAUUCCUGGUGUAGCGGUGAAAUUCGCAGAUAUCAGGAGGAACGCCGGUGGCGAAGGCGGCGACCUGGUCCGAUACUGACGCUGAGGCGCGAAAGCGUGGGGAGCAAACAGG
rnacentral:rRNA from 1 species